rnacentral:rRNA from 1 species
CCUACGGGUGGCAGCAGUGAGGAAUAUUGGUCAAUGGGCGUAAGCCUGAACCAGCCAAGUCGCGUGAGGGAUGAAGGUUCUAUGGAUAGUAAACCUCUUUUAUAAGGGAAUAAAGUGCGGGACGUGUCCCGUUUUGUAUGUACCUUAUGAAUAAGGAUCGGCUAACUCCGUGCCAGCAGCCGCGGUAAUACGGAGGAUCCGAGCGUUAUCCGGAUUUAUUGGGUUUAAAGGGUGCGUAGGCGGCCUUUUAAGUCAGCGGGGAAAGUCUGUGGCUCAACCAUAGAAUCGCCGUUGAAACUGGGAGGCUUGAGUGUGUGUGAGGCAGGCGGAAUGCGUGGUGUAGCGGUGAAAUGCUUAGAUAUCACGCAGAACCCCGAUUGCGAAGGCAGCCUGCCAGGCCAUGACUGACGCUGAUGCACGAAAGCGUGGGGAUCAAACAGGAUUAGAUACCCUUGUAGUC